rnacentral:rRNA from 1 species
AACCCUCGCUGUGUGUUACAAGUGUCACACGGUACUGCCGGGUCUUAAGCCGGAGGAAGUGGGGAUGACGUCAAGUCAGCAUGGCCUUUAUGUCCUGGGCUACACACACGCUACAAUGGCCAACACAAUAGGUUGCUAAGCCGCGAGGUGGAGCCAAUCCUCAAAGUUGGUCUCAGUUCAGAUUGCAGGCUGCAACCCGCCUGCAUGAAGAUGGAGUUGCUAGUAACCGCAGGUCAGCUAUACUGCGGUGAAUACGUUCCCGGGGCUU